rnacentral:sRNA from 1 species
UCACAUAAUUUAAUCCGAUUGAUGUAUCAAUUUCCUACAAGUAGGACCAACCAUAAGUACGCUUGUUUUUUAUUGUCGAUAAAAUAAGGUUUAUACAAAAGAGGUCAACAACAAUUGUCUGUUUUCAUUCGACACUGAUCAGGAAAAGAAAAUACCAUAGUAUGAAAUCUGCAAGGAGAACAACCCUGUGUUAAUACGCCGAAAAUACGCCGAAAAUCUUUUCAAUUACAACAAAAAUGGCCACGACAUCCAUACAAGUUUCAUCAUUUUCGUGCAGUGUAUGUUAAUAAUCACUGGUCUACAAUGGGUUAACCGGUCUCCGGCCAUAAUUGGAAAUUAUAUUCCUCGAUUUUGAUAUUCGGUUGAAUAUUACUUGCAAGAUAACACUCUCACCCCUGAACACAUAUUUUUAUCCGAUAAAUGAAUCAAUUUUCUCCAA